UGAGUAUUGGACCGGUUUGGAGAGGCCCAAACCCAUCUCCCUCUUUUUCUCUUCUCCCUCUCUCCCAGUUUUCCUCCCGAGCCCCUCCCCCUGCCGGAAAGUUCUGGCCGUCCGCCCGCCGCCGUCGGGCCACCAUCUGCCGCCGCACCGGUCUCGUUCGAUCUGUCUCCAACCCAGCAUCCUCCCUGGCCCGGUGACAGCUCCCCUAGCGCCGCCGUGAGUGAGGAACGACGCCCGAAGCCGUUGGAAGCCGUGGUGGUUCCCUCGCCGGAGCUCCCUCCUCCGGCCACCAAAACCGGCGAUCCUUAGCUCAUUUUGUAGCCCUCCUCCCGUGCAGAAACCCCUCCAAAGAGCUCACCCUCUCUUGAGCUAGGUAAGGAGAAAUGUGGAGUUGAAAUUUCUAAGGCUUUUAGGAUGUUUUUAGUCGAUUACCCUAGUUAGGCUUGGAAUUGGUGUUUGUUCUAGUUAAGAGAGUUGUAGAGCAUGAUGAGAGGAUUAUUCUGUCAAAAUUUCAUAGGCAUUGGAGGUCGCCGGAAUCGGCCUCCGGCCGCCGGCGCCGGAGCUGUUUGGGAGAUUUUAAUGUUUUUAAAUUUGGAAUAUUAAGGGGAGUUUAUUGGAGUGAGUUAUGGAAUUUUUGGAUGAGUUUUGGAUAGGUUUGUGAAUUUCCUAAGUUUGGUAUUUUGGCGGUGGUUUAAUGUAGAAUCCGGCCGUUGGAUUAAAGUUGUUUAAACUGUGGGAAGGUGUAGUUACGGCUGCUGGUUUUAGGGUUGAAAUGUGGACCAUUUCGAAGUUAGGCAAUGACGAGCGUGUUUAUGGCUCUCGGUUAAUUUUGCCUAUUUUGCGUAAAUAUUGGAAUUUCGGACUGGGAAAUUAAUAUUAUUUUUGGAUCAGGUCGUGAGGAGGCUCGAGCUGACGAGGCCCCAGAUCGACAUCAGGCUUAGGCCUAAUUUGUGAGUGGACUUUUAUUUUAAAUAAUUUGCAGGCGAAAUAAUUUAUGUGGUUAGAGAAUAACCGAAAUUGAGAAUUUCGGUGAGUAUGUAUAUAUAUCCAUAUUUGGAUGAUUAUGAGAAUAAUAUGUAUAUGAGGGAAUGCUAGCUAGCUAUACGUGCUUUUCCCACCAUACUGAGGUAAAAUUCCAUUAUGGUGCAAUGUGAGCGUUAGACGCAAUCGUCGUAGCCCUAUAUAAAUAUAAUAAUUUAUAGGGGAUAUGCGCGUAUAUAUAUAUUUAUACACCGUCUUUUCCACCAUAAUGAGGUAAAAUGGCAUUAUGGUGCGACGUGAGCGUUAGACGCAAGCGUCGUAGCCUUGUGUGAAUUUUCUAUUUGACUUUGUUGUUUCAAGAAAAUUUAUACAAGGGAUAUGACAAGUGUAAUACAUACAUAUUUUAUGUUAGCCUGAGAGGCUCUUAUUUUUGAAGUGUUGGUGACUAGUGCGGCUAGUCACGUUUCGGUAAAUUUUUGAGCUUGUUGCAUGCUGUUAACUCUUUUUCUCAGAAGUUAAUUUGGGAAGCAUAAAGAUUUAUUUUCUUUUAAAAUUUAUUUUUGUCCACUCACUCUAACGUGUUUCAAAUGUCUUCCCCUGGGCUCUUUGUUUUAAAAUGUCCAGUCUACAGAGUUCGGGUUGGAUCUAGUAGGAGGCGAAGCUUAGUCACCAGUUUUUCUGCCAGUUUUCAUCAGUAGGUUACAUGUUUAACCUACUAGUGUUUUCUUGCUUCCGCUAGUGUCUAGUAGCUCUGAAUACUUUGGGAUUAUUGUAUAUUAUUUCGGUAGUGUGCUCGGUCGGUUGACUUCAUGUCACAUCCCGACCCUUAUAUUUUUACCUUAUUUACUAGCCUGAUUAUAAUAAAAAUUUUACCGUCUCGAUCAUUGAGUAAAUAGUUUAAUUGGUCCCUAGAGGGGUUUCGGGGACGAUUAUGUGCGGAGGAUUAUUAGUAUGAGGAAAAUACGACGACGGUAAAGAUGGUAAAUUUUAGCUAGUAAAAGGUAAUUUUUAUUCGGGUAUUAUUUUUUCGGGGUGUUUUUAUUUUUUUGGAAGUGGGUUGAUAUAGGUUGGACCGGUGGAGGCCCAACCCAUUUUCUUUUUCCUCCUCCCUUUCUCUUUUUCCCUCUUUUCUUUUCCUCUCCCCGAGCCUCCCGCUGCCCGGUUUUCCGGCUGUCCUCCCGCCGCCGUCCGACCUCCGUUCGCCGCCGGACCGGUCCCGUUCGGUCGGUCUCCCUCCCAGCAACAUUUCUAGACCGGUGAGAGGAGCCCUAGCGCCGCCGUGAGAGAGCGGUGCCGCCCGAAAGCAAGGGCUGUCCCGAACUUCCCUUCGCCGGAACUUCCUCCUCCGGCCACCAAUCCGGGCAAGCUUGGUACGGUUUUGUAGCCCUCCUCCCGUGCAACAACCCCUCCAAACAGCUCCCUCCCUCUUGAGCUAGGUAAGGAGAAAUUUGAGGUGGAAGUUUUAUGGUGUUUAAGUUGUUUUCAUUCGAUUAGCCUAGUUAGGCUUGGAAUUGGGUGAUGUGUUAGUCAUGAAAAUUGUAAAGGAGAUUGAGAGGAAGAUUCUGUUAAAAUUUGGUAGCAUUUGCAGGUCGCCGGAAAACGGCUGCCGGCCGCCGCUGCCGGCGGCGGCGCCGCCGGUUAGGAGAUUUUUAGGGUUUUAAAUGUGGAAUAUUAAGAGGAGUAUAUUGGUGUGAUUUAUGGAAUUUUUGGAUGAGAUUUGGAUAGGUUUGUGAUUUUCCGAAGUUUGGUAUUUUUGGCGGUUAAUUAAUGUAGAAUCCGGCCGUAGGAUUUAAGUCGUAUUUUGAGGAGGUUAUAUUUAUGACUGUGGAGUAUGAUAUUUAAGUUCGGAUCGUCCGAUGUAAGAAUAUCGAAGUUAGGCAAUAAUGAGCGUAAUUAUGGCUCUCGGGUAAUUUUGCCUAUUUUGAUUAAAUAUUGGAUUAUUGGUUGGGAAAUUAAUAUUUUAUUUGGAACAGGACGUGAGGAGGCUCGAGCAGACGAGACCCCAGAUCGAUAUCAGGCUUAGGCCUAAUUUGUGAGUGGACGUUUAUUUUAAAUAAAUGCAUGCUAAAAUUCACGAUUGAAUAAUUAAUGUCGUGGAGUAUUUUGACGUUAUCUUAAUUUUUGACGAUUUUUACUUCUCUUGGAGAGAUACCGAAAAUGGGAUUUUCGGUGGAUAUAAAUAUGUAUUUAUGAGAGAGUAUGUAUAGAAAAUGCUAGCUAGCCAUAUGUGUCUGUCCACCUUAAUGGCGUAGCAUAUAGCCGCAUUAUGGUGUGACGUGAGCGUUGGACGUAAGCGUAGUAGCCCUAUUUGAGUGUUUAAUUCAUAUAGGGGGUAUGGACACAUAUUUAUACACCCGUCUGUCCACCUUGAUGGCGUAGUGUAGCACCGCAUUAAGGCGUGACGUGAGCGUUGGACGCGAGCGUAGUAGCCCUAUAUAGACCCAUGAAUUUAUAUAGGGAGUAUGGACGAGUGUAAAUACAUACAUAUAUUAUAGAGUCUGAGAGGCUCGAUAUUUUAUGGGAUAAAAGUUUUAUCGCUUGCGGCAUGCAUUCGAUUUUUCCUUAGAAAUUAAUUUGGGGAAACAUAAAUAUUUUAUUUAUUAUUUUAUUUUUGUCCACUCACUCUAACGUUAUUAAAUGUUUUCCCCUGGGCCCUUCGUUUUAAAUUGCCCAGUCUGUAGAGUUCGGGUUGGAUCUAGUAGGAGACGAGGCAUAGUCACCCGCAUUUCUGCCAGUUUUCGCUAGUAGGUUACCUGUUCAACCUACUCGUGUUUUCUUGCUUCCGCUUGUGUUUAGUAGCUCUGAAUACUUUAGAAUUUUUGUAUAUUAUGCGAUGUUCAGAAGUGAUAAAUUGAGAGUGUAAUUUGAAAUUUUCGAGUUAGGGUUGUCCAUCUGCAAGGGAGAUUUUCUUAAUCUUUUCAGUAAAUUUUCCUUGGAGGUGGUCCCCGCACGACUUACUCUGGGUUUCAGGGUGAAAUUCGGGGUGGGUCGUGUCACUUCAUGUUUAGAAUUUCUGAAGGAUAAGAUUUGCUGUUUUUAGCUGGAUAAGUAUGUGACGUUUGGACGUGCUGUAAUAAGAGUAAAUCUGAAUUUUUCGAGUUAGGGUUGUCCAUUUUCAAGGGAGGUUUUAUCAAUUUUUAUGGUAAAUUUUCUUUGGAGGUAGUCCCCGCAUGACUUACUCCGGGUUUCAAGGUGAAAUUCGGGGUGGGUCUUGUCAGUAUUAUUUUUUGGGGUGUUAAUUUUUACUGUUAGGUUUUAAAUGGUGGGUUGUGGAACCGGUUUGGAGGCCCAAACCUUAAUUCUCUCUAUCUUUCCCCGACUCUCUCCUCUCCCUCGAUUCUUCUUCCUUCGCCGGUGUUCUCCUCCAUUGCCUGCCGCCGUCCGGCCAGCUCCGGCCGCCACACCGGUCCCCAUCGAACCAUCGCCUUCUCCUCUUCAUUCCUGGAUAGGUGAUCGAGCUGUUGUCGCCGCCAUGUGGAGGUAAUCACCCCUGGAAGUCCGGCUGCCCUUCCGCCGGAGCUCCCUCCUCCGGCCACCAUAGCCAGAGCCACUUGGCUUGUUUGAAAGCCCUCCUCCCGUGCAGCAAUCCCUCCAAAGGAUUCACUCCCCCUUGGUCUAGGUAAGGAUAUUUUGGUGUUGGAAAUUCUAGGGCUCAAUUUUAUGUUUUGGUUCGAUUACCCUAGUUAGGCUUGGAAUUAGGCUUUGUGCUAGUUUGGAAAGUUGUAGUAGCCUUGUAUGAAUUUCUAUUUUUGUUAUAUUUUUUUCAUAAGAAAUCAUACGAGUUUGACGAGUGUAAAUACAUACAUAUAUAUAAGUUUAUAUAUAGUUAGCCUGAGAGGCUCCAUUUUAUUAAGUUUUGGAGACUAGCCGGAGCUAGUCAUGUAUUUGCCAGUUUAUGAGUUGAGAGCUUUUGAGCUUGUCGCAUGCAGCGUAAAUUUUCCACAGAAAUUAAAUUGGGAAAGCAUAAAGAUUUUGAUUGCUCGUUUCUUUUAAAUUUACUUUUGUCCACUCACUCUAAUGUGUUUCAAAUGUUUUCCCUUGGGCCUUUCGGUUUUAAAUGCCUAGUUUGCAGGUUAGCAUAGUUGAGGUCGAGCGUACAUGAAGACGAGAUAUAGUCAAUAGUAUAGCUUCCGCUCAUAUAUAUAAAUAUAUAUAUUUCUAGUUCCUUUCUUCUUUGUUAGGGCUCUGAACCUGUGAUUGUUGGUUGUGGGAUUGUGAGUCUUAAAGUUAGUAAAUAAAUUGGGAGAUGUUGUGUUUUGGGGAGCACGAAAGCUCUAGGAGUUAUAAGGUUGGAGUUCGAACUUUUAGUAGUGUUUGCUGGUGUUUUUAUUUAGGAAUGGUUGUCUAUUUUUAAGGAAUGUUAUGCCGGAUUUUCGGUAAAUUUUCCUUGAAGGUGGACCCCGCAGGAUUUAAUUCAGGUUUCAGGGUGAAAUCCGGGGUGGGUCCUGACAUUAGACAUGGAUAUGGGCCUGAUUUGGUCUUUUCCUACGUGGGGGUAAUCUUUGGUGUGUCGUUCCUUCUUGCUAGUUGCUACGGUCAUUUUCUCCCAUUACUCAUUUUCUAAUUGAUCAUAAACAAAAAAUAAAAAAUUAAUUUUGGGCCCAGCCCAAGUUAACAGCAGUGAUCUCUCCUUUCCCUUUGGUUUAGGCCCGGCCCAUGUUAUGGAAAUUAGCCCAAUUAGGGCAGUUAUGUAUUUCUCUUUACAUCAAAUUAUUUUAUUAGAUUUUGGUAAUUUACUGCUUCCAAUAAGUCCUGAUCUGGAUAUGUGGGCUACGUCCCGACUUGCUCAUCUUGCGUACGAUGUUUUCUCUGGGUAGGCAGCGAGUUGCUUAUUUCGUCAAAUGGUCGCAGCCUCCUAAUAGCAAGAUGAAACUUAAACUUAGUCACUGGUAAAAUGUCAGGACCCACCCCGAAUUUCACGCUGAAACCCGAGAUAAAUCCUACGGGGUCCACCUCCUAGAAAAAUUUAUCGAAAAUUCGGCAUAAUCUACCUUGAAAAUAGACAAUCCUUACCUGAAAAAUCCAACUUAAACUUCAAUAACCAAACAAACCAGCCUCAACACCUAGAGCCUUCCUGCUCCCCAAGUUCAUCACAUCUCCCAAAAUAUCAAAUACUAACUUCUGGAAUUCCACAACCAACAACAAAGACAACAUUAAUUCACUAACUGAUUAUCAGAGCAUAUCUAAUAAUGAAAGAAUAACAAUGAAUAAAGAUUAAGCGGAAGCAGCCUCUGAAUAUGCCUCGACUCCAUGUACGCUCGACCUCAAUUAAACUUAGCCUGCAAACUGGGCAUUUAAAACCAAAGGGCCCAGGGGAAAGCAAUUUUAAAAACAUUAGAGUGAGUGGACAAAAAUAAAUUAAACAAUUUAACAAAAUACGUAAUUUAAAUACUUUUCCACGUUUCAAUUUUAAAAACUUAGUUGCACGCAACUUUCGUAGAUCAUAUAACUUAAAUUCCAGAAACCCAAUAGAAUGGACAAAGAGCCCCGCUGGUUAAUCAAAUAAAGAAAUCUCGUAAGAGAUAAAUCAGCCCCGCUGGUUAAUCAAAUACAUAACUGAGAAAAUAAAAUAAGAGGAAGAGUUAUCACUAUCUAAGAGGAGCCUCCAAGGCUCGGGUCGGUGCCUACCAGGCUAUAGUAGCGUCCCACGCUAAGUGCUCAACUCACCUAUGGUGAGGACCGCUAAAUAAAGCUAGCUAGCAAUAAAUAAUAAUAUCCGAUCGGUGCCUCCCAGGCUAUAGUAGCGUCCUAUGCUAAGCGCUCGACUCACCUAUAGUGAGGACCGUUAAUAAAGCUAGCUAGUAAUGAAAUAUAAACGACCCUAUAUUAUGCUGACUAAAAACAUACGAAAUCACUUAAAUCCAUUAAACUUCCCCAAGAUCAUACGAAUGGUAUGGUUCCCAACCGUACUUGAAAAUCAUCAUAAAAAAUUAUAUUAAAACUCAAUGACAUGUCUCACACGUCAAAAUAUUCUCAAAGCCAUAAUAUAAACAAGGUUUAAUUAACAAGUAAAAAUCAUAAUUAAUAUCUCAAACCAAAAUACUCGCUAAAAUAUUCUCAAGGUCAAGAUCGAUAUUCCAUAAAUAAAUACGAAAAUUAUAAAUAGCGAACUACCGAAAAUCCCAUUUUCGGAAACCUUUUGUAAAUCUCAAAGUCCACAAAUAAAACAAUCAUAAUGAAAUCCGGAAUUUAUAAAGAAUAUCCAAACUCAAAUACCAAAUUAAUAAUCCAAGCUCAAAUCCAUGAAUCAUGACCAACCAUUAAUCAAUGCUUCAAACUCAAAAUUUCCAAGAUCAUCUCAUAAGCCGAAAUUAUAAUAUAAACUUGGAAAAUAAAAUAAUAUAUUAUUAAAUCUUGCAUGCAUAUUUAUUUAAAACCAAAAUGUCCACUCACAAAUUUAGGCAUAAGCCCGACGAUACCCGAAUCGCCACUCAAGUGAGGUUCCCUUCAUAUCCUAGCACAAUAACCAUGCUUAGAACCAAACUUGAAUUCCAAAAAAUAAAUACUUAAAUAUAAACUCCAAAACUCUUCCGCUUAACUCACUACCCUUACUAGGGUUAUGUUCACCGGAUUCCCACCAAACUCCACCACAACCUUAAUUCAUCAAUUCUAACAUUCUAGAAUAAUUACCAAGGAAAUCCAACGGCCGGAUUUUCAUUUUAACAACCGCCAAAAUUUUCAAUCUUUGAAAAAUCCCAAACCUAACCAAAACUCUUCCAAAAAUUCCAAACUUCACAUCAUUAAACUCCUCUCAUUAAAACAAACUCAAAAACAUGAAAAACUACCCCAAAGCGGCGGCGGCCGGUCAGCCCAAUUCCGGCGACCUCUAUUGGCUACCAAAUUCUGACACAAUCUUCCUCUCAACAUUCCAAACAACUUUCAUAACUACCACAAAGUCCAAUUUCAAGCCUAACAAGGGUAAUCGAAGCCAAACAUUAAAAAUCCCAAAUUUAAAACCCUAAAAUUUCAAACCUUCGAUUCUCCUUACCUAGCUCGAAUCUUUUUAGGGGUUUGCUACUGGAAGGGAGAGCUUCCAAAUGAUACCAACAGCUCCAGCUAUGGUGGCCGAAAAAGAGAGUUUCCGGUGGAAACACCUCCCACUACCAGGACAAGCAUUUUAGCCGACGAAAAAGUUAGCUUAAUUCGUCGGCUAAGAUCUUACCCGACUAGCCUUCGUCGGCUAUAGUUUCGUCAGGAAAAAGGCGUCGGCGAUGACUUUAACAGACGAAACUAGAAAACGUCGUCGGCUAUUGUCACAGUAUUUAGCCGACGACAGAAGACGUCGUCGACCAUAGUUUGAGAUUUAAGCCGACGAAACAUUUAAGAUAUUAGUCGGCUAAAGUAUGUAAUAAAAAAUUAAAAAAUAACUGUAGCCGACGAAAUAUAAUCUGUUUCGUCGGCUAAAGCCGACGAAACAUGCCAUAAUUCGUCGGCUAAACCUUAUAAAAAAACUUAAAAAAUACUAUAGCCGACGAAUAUAAUCGGCUAAAGUAUUUAAAUAUUGUCGGCUAAAGUUGCUAGUUUUUGAAAAAAAAAACUGCAGAAACUUUCGGCCACCUCCAAUCACCAUCAAAAUUUGACAAAAUCUUCCUCUCAACAUUUCGAACAACUUUCUAGAAGAAGUCGAAGCCCAAUUUUAAGCCUAAACAGGUCAAUUGAAUCAAAAUAUAAAAAUCUCCAAUUUUAAACCCUAAAAACUUCAAAUCUUCGAUUCCCCUCACACACUCUGAAUCGAGCUACUAAAUUCUAGGGGAAUGUAGUACUAAUUAAACUCAACUUAUCCAUAUAUAGAACUCACCAAAUAGUGACCUAAGGAAGGAGAAAUUCGAUCGACACCGAAUCCGAACCGGCGGAGUUUUGGAGCUCGAUUUAUCCCUCACGGCGGUGCCACUCGAUGCACCACAUGUCCAUCAAUGAAAUAGAGACGACGGCGAAGCUUUUGGGAGAAGUGUGGCGGUCUGCGGUGGCUUGACAGCGGAACUAGGCCGAGAAGAAAAUCCGGCAGGCGAAACAAUAACUUUUUCUGAUUUUCUGACUCCUUACCAUCCACCUCCGGUAAAACUCCUAUAUAAAGAACUUUACUCGACGAAAUUCUUUAUUUUCGUCGCCUAAACUCUUUUGAAAAUUUUGGUUGACCGCUAAAAUUUUUUUGACAAUAGCCGAUGAAAUCAUAUAUUUUCGUCGGUUUAAGUCCUUUGAAAAUUUUCCUCCGAAUUUGGUUUGCCGCCAAAUUUUUUUUGACAUUAGCCGACGAUUUUUUUAAUAUCUCGUCGGCUAAAGUCUAAAAAUUCACGAAAACGCUUAUAUCUCCCUCUAUAUCACGAAAAACUUUCACGUAGAUGAGACGCAACCGCCUAUAUAAAAAUUUUGAGACAUUUACCUUCCGACGAUAGGGCUCCCCAUAGGGAAUAAUAACGGUAAAUAGGGUUGACCGCUACUAUCGGCACCGAGAUGUUACCCGAUUUAUAUGAUUUUUGAACCAUAGCUUUAUUUCACCAUUCUAAACACAUCUUAUUUCACGAGAAUUUUGAUAAUUUUGCUUCCUUUGUAGAGUUGGUUCACAAAGUUGUAUAACCUACUAAACAAGUUAUACUACAACAUUAGUAAACACGUUGUGAUUCCGAUGACUACAAUUCACAAACCAAAAUUUGACCGUCAGAUAUGAUCAUUAUGACGAAAGAUGUCUAUGGUAAAAAAUUCAACUGGAUUCGACAACGUUAUGGGCUCGAUCGAAACGGUCAACUCUAAUUGGAAAUAAGAAAACUGCAUUUUGAAGCCCUAAACGGACUCAUAUGGCCCAAAAGGCCCAUAUAUCAUGGAAAUGCCAUGAGUUUGACUCCUAGGGCCGUUACGCUUCCGGAAAGGUAUCAGAAUAGUCAAUCGGACACCGAACACCAAAUCUGCAACAUACCGGGUUUCGACUGUUCUACAUCAGAGACGUUACCCGAUUUAAGUGAUUUUUGAACCAUAGCCGUAUUUCACCAUUUUGAACACAUCUUAUUUCACGAGAUUUUUGUUAAUUUUGCUUCUAUGUAGAGUUGGUUCACAAAGUUGUGUAUUUAUUUAAAACCUACUAAGCAAGUUAUACAACAUUUUAUUGUUUUUCUUUUAGCCGAUGGAUAAUAACCGACGAGAUUUUUUUCGUCUAGUAAAAUACUUUAGCCGACGAGUAAAAACUUUGGCCGUCGAAGGAAAACUUUGGCCGACGAAAAAAAAUUUCGUCGGCUAAAGUAUAGUAUAGCCGACGAA
rnacentral:lncRNA from 1 species